AUCAGAUUGACUAUGAAAAAUCAAUACCAACACAAAAGUAUGCCAAAUUGCAGGGUCUUUAUUGCCGGUGGCCACGGAGGACUCAUGUCUCUUCAACCUGUGGCCCCCAGCUCAGGCGGAGUAAGGUAUUUAAGCUGCAAAACCACAUCCUUGUUUCGGGGGGCUCCGGGGUUGUGCAAGGCAAGCUGUUUGUACAGAAGCUAAAGUCAGCAGUUCGUUGCAAGGGA